rnacentral:snoRNA from 1 species
UCGGACACGGCAAGGGGUUGGAGUGUCCGUGCUUCAUAGGACAGGAACCUACGUCUGGUGGAUGAACAAUGACGGUGAGAUCAGAGCGAGUGAUUAACGGCCUGAUGAGCUUUUCUGUGGAGGGGUCUCAAUCUUGGGCUGUAGAGGAUCGUUCUCAGACAGUUUCACUUAUCCGGGAUGGUGACAUAGAUGUCUGACAGAUC